rnacentral:rRNA from 1 species
AUACGUAGGGGGCGAGCGUUGUCCGGAAUGAUUGGGCGUAAAGGGCGCGUAGGCGGCCCGGUAAGUCUGGAGUGAAAGUCCUGUUUUUAAGAUGGGAAUUGCUUUGGAUACUGUCGGGCUUGAGUGCAGGAGAGGUAAGUGGAAUUCCCAGUGUAGCGGUGAAAUGCGUAGAGAUUGGGAGGAACACCAGUGGCGAAGGCGGCUUACUGGACUGUAACUGACGCUGAGGCGCGAAAGUGUGGGGAGCAAACAGGAUUAGAUACCCUGGUAGUCCACACUGUAAACGAUGAAUGCUAGGUGUAGGGGGUAUCGACCCCUUCUGUGCCGCAGUCAACACAAUAAGCAUUCCGCCUGGGGAGUACGGCCGCAAGGUUGAAACUCAAAUGAAUUGACGGGG